GUGGUUCCGGUCUGUCUGGUACGUAGUUCUGGCCUGCUCAGAAGGUGGUUCAGGAAGGUCCCGCAGGUGGUUCCAGUCUGUCCUGUAAGUGCUUUGGCGUGUCCUGCACAUGGUUCUGGCAUGUCUGAGAGGUGGUUCCAGCAUGCCCGGAAUGUGAUCCGGGACUGCCCCCACAUGGUUCUGGCAUAGCCAGCAGGUGAUUUUGGCGUGUCUGGCAGGUGGUUCUGGCGAGUCGAGCAGGUGGUUCCGGCAUGUCCGGCACGUGGUUCUGGCAUGUCUGAGAGGUUGUGCCAGCAUGCCUGGCACAUGAUUCCGUCUUGUCCGCCUAGUUGUUCUGGAGUAGCUGGCAGGUGAUUUUGGCAUGUCCAGCAGGUGGGUCCUGCGAGUCAAGCAGGUGGUUCCGGCAUGCUCGGAAGGUGGUUCAGGCGUGUUCGGCAGGUGGUUCCAGUCUGUCCAGGACGUGGUUGCAGCGUGUCUGGCACGUGGUUCUAUUACGUCUGAGAGGUGUUUCCAUCAUGUUCGGCAGGUGCUUCUGGCGUCUCCGGCAUGUGCUUCUGGCACGUUUGAGAGGUGGUUCCGGCAUGCCCGGCAGGUGAUUCCGGAGUGUCCGACAAGUGGUUCUGGCGUAGCCGGCAGAUGAUUUUGCCGUGUCCGGUAGGUGGUUCCGGGGAGUCGAGUGGUUGUUCUGGCGUGCUAGGCAGGUGGUUCCGGCUGGUCCAGCAGGUGGUUCCGGUCUGUCCGGAAGGUGGUUCCAGCGUGUCUGGCACAUUGUUCUGGCAUGUCUGAGAGGUGGUUCCGGCAUGCCCAGUAGGUGAUCCUGGAGAGUCCUCCAAGUGGUUCUGGCAUAGCUGGCAGGUGAUUUUGGCGUGUCCGGAAGGUAGGUCUGGCGAGUCAAGCAGGUGAUUCCGGCAUGCUCGGCUGGUGGUUCAGUCAGGUACGGCAGGUGGUUCAGGUCUGUCCGGGAGAUGGUUCCGGCGUGUCCGGCACGUGGUUCCAGCACGUCGGGGAGGUGGCUCCGGCAAGGCCAUCAGUUGAUUCCAGAGAGUCCACCACGUUGUUCUGACAUAGCCAGCAGGUGAUUUUGGCGUGUCCGGCAGGUGGUUCCGGCAAGUCGAGCAGGUGGCUCCGGAGUGCUCGGCAGGUGGUUACGGUGUGUCCGGCAGGUGGUUCCGGUCUGUCCAGUAGGUGGUUCCGUCGUGUUCGGCAUGUGGUUCUGGCACAUCUGAGAGGUGGUUCUGGCAUGCCCGGCAGGUAAUUCUGGAGUGUCCGCCAAGUGGUUCUGGAGUAGCCGGCAGGUGAUUUUGGCGUGUCUGGCAGGUGGUUUUGGGGAGUGGAUCAGGUGGUUCCAGCAUACUCGGCAGGUGGUUCCCCCGUGUCCGGCACAUGGUUCUGACACGUCUGAGAGGUGGUUCCGGUAUGCCCGGCCGGUGAUCCCAGAGAGUCCUCCAAGUGUUUCUGGCGUAGCCGGCAGGUGAUUUUGGAGUGUCCAGCAAGUGAGUCUGGCGAUUCGAGCAGGUGGUUCCGGCGUGCUCGGCUGGUGGUUCAGUCAGGUACGGCAGGUGGUUCCAGUCUGUCCGGGAGAUGGUUCCGGCGUGUCCGCCACGUGGUUCCGGCACGUCGGUGAGGUGGUUACAGCAAGGCCAUCAGGUGAUUCCAGAGAUUCUGCCAAGUGGUUGUGGCAUAGCCGGCAGGUGAUUUUGGCAUGUCCAGCAGGUCGUUGCGGCGAGUCGAGCAGGUGGUUCCGGCAUGCUUGGCAGGUGCUUCUGGUGUCUUUGGCACGUGGUUCUGGCAUGUCUGAGAGCUGGUUUCGGCAUGCACGGCAGGUGGUUCCGGUUUGUCCAGCAGGUGGUUCAGGCAUGUCCGGCAGGCGUUUUUGCAUGUCUGGUGGCGCUUCCGGGGAGUCGAGGAGGUGGUUCCUGCGUGUCCGGCAGGUGGUUCCGGUCUGUCCGGCAGGUGGUUCUGGGGUGUCUGGCACGUGGUUCUGCCACGUUUCAGACGUUGUGCCAGCAUGCCCUUCACGUGAUUCCGGCUUGUCCACCAAGUGGUUCUGGAGUAGCCAGCAGGUGAUUUUGGCUUGUCCGGCAGGUGGGACCGGCGAGUCUGGCAGGUGGUUCCGGUCUGUCUGGGAGGUGGUUCCGGCAUGUCCGGCACGUGCUUCUGGCACGUCUGAGAGGUUGUGCUGGCAUGCCCGACAGGUGAUUCCGGAGUGUCCGACAAGUGGCUCUGUUGUAGCCUGCUGGUGAUUUUGGGGUCUCCGGCAGGUGGUUCCAGCGAGUCGAGCAGGAGGUUUCGGCGAGCUCGGCAGUUGUUUCCAGAAUCUCCAGCAUGUGUUUCUUGCACAUCUGAGAGGUGGUUCCGGCAUGCCCGCCAGGUGAUUCGGGAUUGUCCACCAAGUGGUUCUGGCAUAGCCGGCAGGUGAUUUUGGCAUGUCCGGUAGAUGGUUCUGUGGAGUGGAUCAGGUGGUUCCUGUGUGCUCGACAGGUGGUUCAGGCGGGUCCAGCAGGUCGUUCAGGUCUGUCUGGCAUGUGGUUCCGGUGUCUCAGGCACAUGGUUCUGGCACGUCUGAGAGGUGGUUCCUCAUGCCCGGCAGGUGAUUCCGGAGUGUCCGAAAAGUGGUUCUGGAGUAUCUGGCAGGUAAUUUUGGCGUGUCCGGCAGGUGGUUCUGGGGAGUGUGUCAGGUGGUUCUGCCAUACUUGGCAGGUGGUCCCAGCUUGUCCGGCAUAUGGUUGUGGCAUGUCUGAGUGGUGGUUCCGGAAUGCCCGGCAGGUGAUCCCGGAGAGUCCUCCAAGUGGCUCUGGAGUAGCCGACAGGUGACUUGGGCGUGUCUGGCACGUGAUUCAGGCGAGGUGAGCAUGUGGUUCUGGCGUGCUCGGCAGGUGGUUCAGUCAGGUCUGCCAGGUGGUUCCGGUCUGUCCAGGAGGUGAUUCCGGAGUGUCCAACAAGUGGUUCUGGCGUAGCCAGCUGGUGAUUUUGGGGUGUCUGUCAGGCGUUUCCGGCGAGUCGAGCAGGUGGUUCUGUUGUGCUCGGCAGGAGCUUCCGGUGUCUCCGGCACGUGUUUCUGGCACAUCUGAGAGGUGGUUCUGACAUGCCCGGCAGGUGAUUCCGGAGUGUCCGACAAGUGGUUCUGGCAUUGCCGGCUGGUGAUUUUGGCGUGGCCGGCAGGUAGUUCCGGCGAGUCGAGCAGGUGGUUCCGGCAUGCUAGGCAGGUGGUUCUGGCGGGCCUGGCAGGUGGUUACGGUCUGUAUGGGAGGUGGUUCCGGCGUGUCCGGCACAUGGUUCCGGCACGCCUGAGAUUUGGUUGUGGCAUGCCCAGCAGGUGAUUCCGGAGUGUCCGACAAGUGGUUCUGGCAUAGCCGGCUGGUGGUUUUGGCAUGUCCGGCAGGUGGUUCCGGCUAGUUGAGGAGGUGGCUACGGCAUGCUCGGCCGGUUGGUUCCAGUGUGUCCUGCAGGUGGUUCCCUUCUGUCCGGUAGGUGGUUCCGGCGUGUCGGGCACGUGGUUCUGGCACGUCUGAGAGGUGGUUGCGGCAUGCCCAGAAGGUGAUUCCGGAGUGUUCAGCAAGUGUUUCUGGCGUAGCUGGCAGGUGAUGUUGGCAUGUCCGGCAGGUGGUUCUGGGGAGUGGAUCAGGUGGUUCAGGCAUGCUCGGCAGGUUGUUCACGCGUUUCGGGCAGGUGGUUCCAGUCUGUCCUGUACGUGCUUUUGGCGUGUCCCUCACAUGGUUCUGGAACGUCUGAGAGGGGGUUCCGGCAUGCCCGACAGGUGAUCCCGGACUGUCCCCCACGUGGUUCUGGCGUAGCCGGCAGGUGAUUUUUGCAUGUCCGGCACGUGGUUCUGUGGAGUGGAUCAGGUGGUUUCAGCAUGCUCGGCAGGUGCUUCCGGUAUCUCUGGUAUGUGGUUCUGGCACGUUUGAGAGGUGGUUCCGGCAUGCCCGGCAGGUGAUUCUGGAGUGUCCGACAAGUGGUUCUGGCAUAGCCUGCUGGUGGUUUUGGGGUGACCGGCAGGUGGUUCCAGCGAGUCCAGCAGGUGGUUCCUGCGUGCCAGCAGGUGGUUCAGGCGGGUCCGGCAGGUGGUUUCCGUCUGUCUGGGAUUUGGUUUUGGCAUCUCAGGCACAUGGUUCUGGCACGUCUGAGAGGUGGUUCCAGCAUGCCCGGCAGGUGAUCGCGGAGAGUCCGACAUGUGGUUCUGGCAUAGCUGGCUGGUGAUUGUGGCAUGGCCAGUAGGUCGUUUUGGCAAGUCUAGCAGGUGGUUCCGGCAUGCUGGGCUAGUGGUUCAGGCGUGUAGUGGUCAGACAGGUAGUUCCGGUUUGUCUGGGAGGUGUUUCCGGCGUGCUUGGCAGGUGCUUCCAGCGUCUCCAGCACGUGCUUCUGGCACAUCUGUGAGGUGGUUCCAGCAUGCCCAGCUGGUGAUUCCACAGUGUCCAGCAAGUGGUUCUGGUGUAGCCGGCAGGUGAUUUUCGUG
ensembl:lncRNA